AAUCAACGCUGGCGGCGUGCCUCAGACAUGCAAGUCGAACGAUUAAAGCUCUCUUCGGAGAGUGUAUAGAGUGGCGCACGGGUGAGUAACACGCAAGUAAUCUACCUUUGAGUGGGAAUAACAGUCGGAACGACUGCUAAUACCGCAUAAUGCAGCGGCACCGCAAGGUGACAGUUGUUAAAGGAGCAAUUCGCUUAAAGAGGAGCUUGCGGCAGANAGUCUUGUUGGUAAGGUAACGGCUUACCAAGGCUACGAUCUGUAUCCGGUCUUAGAGGACGGUCGGACACACUGACACUGAAUAACGGGUCAGACUCCUACGGGAGGCAGCAGUCGGGAAUUUUGGGCAAUGGGCGAAAGCCUGACCCAGCAACGCCGCGUGAAGG
rnacentral:rRNA from 1 species